CUCAGUUAUUGGAAAAUAAAAAAAUUAGAAUGGGACACUUUCCAAACAGUGAAGGAGGUUUUUCCAAACUCAUCCCUAACUGAAUGUGAGCAUGAGUUGGCGUUAGGCGAACACAGUCAGUUAUUCAGUCUACCACCUGACAGUGUGUUAAAGUUAAAUUCUGUUAGUGCUGCACUAAAAGAAUUGUUAGUAAUAAGUCCAUGCAGCGAAGGAAGUGAACAAUUGUGGGACCUUAUUUGGGCUGAAAAUGGGUGUGGUACGGAAACCCAGAAAUAGCACGUGUUCAACAUAAAACAUGAAUUAGAAUUUUAGUGGGGGAUCAAGUCAAGUCUGGAAGUGUUACAGGAUGGAAGAGUGAGCCUACAGUUGAAAAACACUGAAAGUGCAUUACCCUUAAGGUAUGAGGUAAAGUAAUAGAGUAUGCACAUUGUCUAAUGAGAAGUACCAUCUUGUGUGAAUGAAUCCUGUAUAACAGCAAUCUUUUAUAGUUCUGUCACACCUAGAAGCCUCAAAUAAUUCUGCUUCUCUUGCUAAAGAACAACUUGUCCUUUACGUUCAGAGUGUUGGUGAAGCUGGGUACUUAAAUGGUCCUAAAGAUGUCAUUGGCAUUGCAGCGAUGAACAUCAUACAUGGGCUUUUUAGGAAAGGAUUUUCAUGUACUGGGAACACAACUAUCAACAAUGCAACAUUCUACAGGUGCUAGUUUAUCAUUCAAGAGCCUUAUACAAUGAAGUUAAUCUGCAAUUUGUAUGUCCUUUCCCAAGCUUCCACCAGAAGUUGAAUCUAUGAGUCAUGUAAGUUCCAUGAUCAACAAUUGAUGUGUUUAACGGUGUUUUUUUUCUUUUCUCAAUAUAGGUUAAUAGUAACAUUGGAUCUGAAAAGAUUCUUGGUUGGGGCAAGACACUGAAUAAAUUGUAUUGAUUGGAUGGAUGACAUGACAUUGCUAUACUUAAUUCGGAUUCCCCAGACGGUAUUUGAUAUUAAAAAAAUUGAAGUGCAUAUCUGGGCUCCCUUCUUUUCUGAAGCCCCGUUUCCCCUUGACUCAUAAUAAGCCCGUAGGGGGUCAUGCCCCUACUGUACGGUAUAUAUAAAAACAACAUAUACCGAGGUUUGGAGGGCUCUGGCCGGAAAGGGGACGUGGGGUGCCGCUUCGUCCGAUGAUGUGUUCACGGAGGGUGACGUGGCUGCCCACAAAUCCGAACUAAAGGUUAAUCGCUCCUGUAAAAAUGUUCCAAAUCUUCAGCUCUUCUUCCGGCUUCUCUUAGCCAUCCCAUCUCUUAGCCAUUCUCUUAGAUUUUCCAGGCAAAAUUUCUAGUAACUCAGCAUUUGGUACGAUCUUUACUAUAAUUUUAUACAGUAUCCUGCAUGUCUCAUUAAUAAAGAUUUAAAUCCUUUUAUAGAUUGACACAUUAGUGAGGAAGGCUCAGUUUAGUUC